AGAAGGAGCAAUGUAAAAGGUUUCGUUUUUAUAAGGCAUCAUCAGACCGGUAUUAACAUUGUGUUUGGAUAUUGUUGGGUCUCUGUAGGUCCUCAAAAAAUGGGAAGAGCGACAAAGCACAGACCUCUGCAGAGGAAGCAAGAAUGUAUUUUCACCCCCUGGAGAAGAGACCUCUGCAGUUGGUAGAGAGUCUCUUGGAGGAUAGCGUACUGGAGGACUUCCUGGUUGACUGUGAAAGCUUGAUCACUUCUGCCAAUUACAAAGACAGUUGAGGAGAGAUCUAUUGUGAAGCUGUGUGGCUAUCCUGUCUGUUCAAAUAAACUGGGCUAGGUCCCCACUCAACAGUUAAACAUUUCCACCAACACCAAUAAAGUCAAUGACAUUACAGAACGCAAGUCCUUCUGCAGUAAUUCUGCUACAAAGCCUCCAAGUCAUUUGAGCUGCAGAUUUCAAAGAGCCAUCUAUGAUUGAGGCAGCACGAGAGAUGUAAACUUAAUGAAUAAAGGAGAUUGCGGUAGCACUGGAGAGGAGGAGAGGCUGACUGAGGUGUUUCAGAGAGGAGGAUGUGAGGAACCUUCCCCUGUACUCUGUGGCCCCAGAGAACCCCAGAUGAUCCCGUACAGCCGGUCACAGCGACACAGAACAGCACUUUGUUUCCAGCGUAGUCUCCCAGCAACAGUUACCCAGGGUGCACUGGGGCAGUCUGCCCAAGCACACCAACGAAGGUGAGGGGGGGAGGGGAGGGAACGAGAAGAGGGAGAGAAGGUCGGGAGGGAAGGACACAAAGAUGCCAAAACAAACAAACAAGGCUGAAGACAAGAAAGAGGAGAAUACAGAAGAAUCACAGAAAGAACCAACAAAGACAAUCAAUGACAUAGGUGGACCCCAACAACACACAACAGGUACAAACCACCCCAGUGAGCAGUAGCCUUUCCUGGAAGAGAGAGGCUCACCAGAGGGCCGGUCUAUGGAGGAUGCCGCAGCACUACUGAGCCAAGUCACAAUGCAGGAUAGAGAUCCAGUCACGGUUACAUCUUCUGUACUAACAACCGUCAACACAGUGCGUGUACAGAAUCAAGAUCCAGCUCCAACUCCCAACCCUCAGUGGGACUCAACCCCAGCACAGCCCACCCAGCCGGGCCUCAGGAUCACCCAGGUGGGCAUGAGCAGGAGGGGGGCCCAGGGGCUCCUCAAGGGCCACGAAACUACUCCAAAACCUGGCUCGGUCUGACUGAACCUUCUAGAAGUCCUAUGGAGUUCCUUCGACGAAUGGUGGACUGAGGAGACUAUGAAGUUCCUAUAUGGCCCAGACCACUUUAAUAAAACAACAGUAGAAACGAAGAAGAAAAAGGAGGAGGAGGAAGAAGAACUGGAUGAAGAUAAGCUGGAGGAUGUUGUAGAAGGGGUUGGGGAUGGAGGGGACGGCGGGUCCCCAGAGGGUCAGGGAGUUCUACAAAGGGGAGCCCACUGGGUGUCAGGGAAAUGGGCCCUGAGACUCAGAGGUGAGUGGGGGAUAAGUGUAGUGUAGUAACCGUCAGUGUCCAGAUGGGGGCACUAUGUAUAAGCAUUGGAGAUGUUAAGUGUGAUGAUGAUGAUGGUCUUGUUUUUGAGGUUGGCUUUUACCAUGAAUAUGUUUUUUUGUCUCACUUCACUUCUUUCCCUCACUCUGUGUCUCCUCUCCUUUCCCAUCUAUGCUCUCUCUCCUUUCACACUCUUUCUCCUGUUUCACGCUCUUUCUCUCAUGCUCUCUCUCCACCCCACCCCCCCACCCAGGACCAGGGUGGUUGGUUGAUUCCCAUGCCUAGCACCUCAUACAGAAACACAUAAUGGUUGAGAAGCUCACUAGAGGGUGUGUGUGUCUGUAUGAAAAUGCUGCUACGGUUUUCAAAGUUCAAAAAACUGUUUUAUGCAAUGGAAAUGUGGUCACUGAUGUGCUGAUAGUUGACAACCAGCAAUAUUACAGAAGCAUUGGUAAGUACUAGCUCGGUCUUGUUGAACUUCGCAUCUCAGCAACUUAAGAAAUUAAAUCAAGUUCUGUGUAUAUGUGUGUGUAUUUAUAUGUCCGGUUUUCCUCAUCUGGGGAAACGUCUCACCAUGACUGACAUCUCCAGUGACCACAUCAGCCUGGUCAGGACCUUCAGGUCAGUGCCAAUGUCAACUCUGAGAGUUAAAGGGCCAAUCCUUAAUUGAAACAAUAAAAAAUGCCUCCCCACCUCUGUUUUGGUAAAAAGCUGAAGGAUGGGCCUGGAGAAAUGUAACUCUUCUCAAAUUCAUAGACAGAGCUAUGGAUGCAAGGCCUGAGCGUCCUAGAUUAGAGUUUCAAGCAUGUUUUGAGGCAAUACAGUGUUUGUUUAUAUUUGAAAUCUAAUUGUAUUGGUCGCAUACACAUAUUUAGCAGAUGCUACUGAAGAUGUAGCUAAAUGCUUGUUUACUAACAUUGGAGUGAAACAAGCUUAUAUUUUGGGUUCUGAUGGGGUAUGACAUUUGAACUUAGCUAAUAAAGCAAUUUCUAAGUUAUAUUCUUCAAGAAUCAAUGGGUAUGUAUCAUUAAUUUAUAAGUACAAAAAUGGAUGUAUUACACCGCAGACUGCUGUUUUAACACACCAUUUCCUACUACAGUGUCCAAUACUGUCUGGGAGAGAAACUGGACAUUUUACACUCUUAUUUCAGUCAAUAUUUACCUGGUCCCGUAGUCAUAAACCAUCUUAUCUGAAGUGCUGAUCUAGAAUCAGUAUUGGCUUUUUGAUCAUAGUGAAUAAGAUUACAUGGACGGGAGACGAGGACACACAUGAUCCUAGAUCAGAACUACUACUCUGAGAUACUAUGAAUACAUGCUCUGGUAUUUAUGGAGAAGUUAUGUGGCGACAAGGCUUCCACGAACUGAGUGAACUUUUCAGGGUAGCCCCAAACUGCCAGAGGUGAACUCUGUUCCUGUCAUGGGCACUAACUGGGCUGUGAUUGGCUGAUAGAGGUGCAGUCAACAGGAAGUAGUGAUUGGCAGAGUGCUAUUGACUUCCUGUAGCUCUGAUUUAAAAGUGAGGCACUUGAGUCACACCUUCAGCAAGAGGCCUGUUUCCAGGAAUUAUCUGCUAGCUACUAAGGCCUGCUGGAACAGCAGCCAGACAUUACACUGCAAACUGUCAAAUAAAAACCUAUAAUUGUUCAAUCUAUAUGAUGAGGUGUCUCUGAUAUGGUUGGACAUUAGGCUAAUAUGAUUUAGAGAUUUUCAGUGCCAAGUUGAAGCAAAGGACAGAGACUGUUGUGUUUUCUCUUUCAUGGAAAAUCAGCAAUGUCUGGCCUGGUGGCAGUGCAAUGUCUGGCCUGGUGGCAGUGCAAUGUCUGGCCUGGUGGCAGUGCAAUGUCAGGCCUGGUGGCAGUGCAAUGUCUGGCCUGGUGGCAGUGCAAUGUCUGGCCUGGUGGCAGUGCAAUGUCUGGCCUGGUGGCAGUGCAAUGUCUGGCCUGGUGGCAGUGCAUAGUCUGGCCUGGUGGCAGUGCAAUGUCUGGCCUGGUGGCAGUGCAAUGUCUGGCCUGGUGGCAGUGCAAUGUCUGGCCUGGUGGCAGUGCAAUGUCUGGCCUGGUGGCAGUGCAAUGUCUGGCCUGGUGGCAGUGCAAUGUCUGGCCUGGUGGCAGUGCGAUGUCAGGCCUGGUGGCAGUGCGAUGUCAGGCCUGGUGGCAGUGCGAUGUCAGGCCUGGUGGCAGUGCGAUGUCCAGCCUGGUGGCAGUGCGAUAUCAGACCUGUGCCAUUUUUUUACUAUACAGUGUCUUUUUUUCCAUGGCAGGUUCACAAACACCAACAUUAUCCACAAAGGCCCAGAGGGGACCAUGAUCGUUAUGGUGCUCCUCAAUCUGUAAGUGUGUGUGUGUGUGUGUGUGUGUGUGUGUUUGUGUGUGUGUGUCAUGUGCUGUUGCAGGAACAGCUGGAGAGCCUGUGCUUCAGUAGGAUCCGUCAGGGAUCAGCAGAGGAAAUCAGAGAACAUUGUUUUACCUGGGGGAACACCCUCUCAACAAACUUAACCUCGUGAUUUAUCUCUACUUGUGUGUAUCCAGGGUGCACUGCAGUGUGUGUGUGUGCACACGUGUGUGUGUGUGUGUGUGUGUGUGUGUGUGUGUGUGUGUGUGUGUGUGUGUUCUUUUGGAUGCUCUCUUUGGUACAUUUUAAACAUCAAAAAAGUGAAUGCCAACCUGUUAAAAUUCAUGAUUUCAUUAAGAUAUGCAUAGAAUUAGAAAUUGUAUAUUCAUUGUUAUGAAAAAUGCAUAUACAUAACCACAGGCACAGCAACUCAAAGGUUUCCUUAUGUUUUAUGUUGCCCUGUGAAAUAUCCAGUGGUGUGUGUGUGUGUGUGUGGCAUCUCCAAUCUGCAUUGUGUGCUUGCCCUUGCAUUGUUUGACCUGUGCCAGAUGGCGUGUGUGUGGUGUGUGUGUGCACUACUUCCCCAGGCAGGUCGGUGGCAGGGCGUGAGCCUAGCAGGCGCUGUGUGGGACAGUUCCGUGCUGCUCCCGUCUGUGUACACACAGACGCCUCUCGGGCCUUAUCUCCUCCACCUGAUUACCCCCCCAACCCUCUCUAGAUCCGUGAUGCAGCAGCCCGGGGCGACACACACGCCCUGGGAAACAUUCCAUUUGGUCCCUAACUGAUCCACUGUGUACACCACCCCAGAGAGGAAACCAGAGACAUAACUUCAGCUCUGAUUUAUAGCUGUCUAAAUAAAUGGGAGAUGACGCUUUCUUGAGCUGAUAUCACCUUAUCAAGGCUA